GAUGAACGCUGGCGGCGUGCCUAAUACAUGCAAGUCGAGCGAACAGACGAGGAGCUUGCUCCUCUGACGUUAGCGGCGGACGGGUGAGUAACACGUGGAUAACCUACCUCUAAGACUGGGAUAACUUCGGGAAACCGGAGCUAAUACCGGAUAAUAUAUUGAACCGCAUGGUUCAAUAGUUAAAGACGGUUUUGCUGUCACUUAUAGAUGGAUCCGCGCCGCAUUAGCUAGUUGGUAAGGUAACGGCUUACCAAGGCAACGAUGCGUAGCCGACCUGAGAGGGUGAUCGGCCACACUGGAACUGAGACACGGUCCAGACUCCUACGGGAGGCAGCAGUAGGGAAUCUUCCGCAAUGGGCGAAAGCUUGACGGAGCAACGCCGCGUGAGUGAUGAAGGUCUUCGGAUCGUAAAACUCUGUUAUUAGGGAAGAACAAAUGUGUAAGUAACUAUGCACGUCUUGACGGUACCUAAUCAGAAAGCCACGGCUAACUACGUG
rnacentral:rRNA from 1 species